UACGUAGGGUGCAAGCGUUGUCCGGAAUUAUUGGGCGUAAAGAGCUCGUAGGCGGUUUGUCGCGUCUGCUGUGAAAACUCGGGGCUUAACUCCGGGCCUGCAGUGGGUACGGGCAGACUAGAGUGCGGUAGGGGAGACUGGAAUUCCUGGUGUAGCGGUGAAAUGCGCGAUAUCAGGAGGAACACCGGUGGCGAAGGCGGGUCUCUGGGCCGAUAUUGACGCUGAGGAGCGAAAGCGUGGGGAGCGAACAGG
rnacentral:rRNA from 1 species